AUCAUCGCUCAAUGUCAGUUUCGAUUUUUCUGGGACGCACUGUACAGAUCAGUUGUUUUUCACUGCUCUUUGAUGAAGUAUGCCCUCUAGUGUCGAAUAUACAUCUCUAUGACAAUGCAUUUAUCUGCAUGGUCCCCAUAAAGGCACACGGACCAUGGACCCUAUCUGAUCACGUGAUCUUAUAUUAUUUUGUUCCCGAACGAAGUCCAUAUCGUAGUGUAAACAUAUAAUGAAAAUUCGAAACAAGAUUGUUCAAUAUACUUAUGUCCCAUAGAAAUUGAAACAAAAAUCCAUCGAUAAGGCAUAUCACGAGAUCGAUCUAUACCUACGAGAAAAUAUUAGUCCACUCGCUGCUUGCAACAGAAUUAUGAUCGCCCCUAAGUUCUUUUGAUAACAGCGAUAACAAGCCUCAAAUGGAUUCUAUCCGGCAUGUGGGGGUAAUGAUAAUGAGUUAAACCAGGCCGUGCGGUAGACUCUUAGCUAAUUAAUCAUUGACUAUCGUGGCAGGUACGUGCUGUUAAUUACAGGCGGUACAUGCACGGCAAUAACGAGUCAUAUUUUGCAUGUGUGGAUCAAUGUAAUUGCAGUAGAGCCGUUUCGUAUGGAGGAUUUUUGCACGGUUGUAUCGCGAAUUAUAUCGAGUUGAGUGUAGUGGUGUGAUUUUCAUUAUCUGGACAAAUAGGCUCAUCACUCUCCACCGUGGUAGAUUGGAAUCCUAUCAUUCUUGGGACGUAAGGGGCAGGCUUAUAUAAUCAAGGCAUAUUAUCAUCGUCAACUCACUUUUGACAUUGUUUCGGAUAACCAGCAAUUAUGAGCUAUCAGCAGACCCCCUAUCCCCAACAAGCCCCUCAGGGGGCUUACCCGCCGCAACCUCCACCACAGGGAUACCCCGCGGCUCCCCCACCAUACGGUGCCGGUCAACCGCAACCCGCCUACGCCCCCGGUCAACCGCAACCCGGCUACGCCCCCGGUCAACCCCAGCCCGGUUACCCGGUUCCGCCCCAACCGCAACAAAUCCAUCACCAUCAUCAGCAAAUUGUAGUUCCACCGCAGCAACCCAAAGUGGUGUACGUCCAGGACAACUCGGCAGCGAGACGGCAGGAAGACGAAGACGCUUGCUGUAUGAUGGCAUUAUGCGCUCUAUGCCUAUGUUGCUUGAUGAGUGAUUAAUCAAAUCUCCACGCUUGCACUGUUACCAUGGUAACUUGAUGUUGAAGAGUGUAGUGAUGAUGGGUAGUAAUGAUUAAGGCCCUGAUUGUGACGUCAGAGGAAUGUGGACUCUCGAAUGAUAAUGAAUGACAAAGCGAUCAACAAGUCUUUUGACAUAAUUUUUGUGUGCCACCACUAUCUGUGAACACUUAGAGGAGUCAUACAAGGUUGUCAGUAUGUUUAAGAUCAAGGGAUGUUACACCGAGUGUUUGUAAGUUCGGUGUUUGUGUUUAAAGCUUGAAUCAUGCUAUACCUAAUCAAUAUCAAACAUCGAAUAUGCAUGGUUUACAAAAAGAGUGUCAGCCCCAGACUUAUUUCAAGCUCGGUUUCGUUGGCUAGUCAUUGCAUGAAAACACUAACAUCGAACUCGAUAUUACCCAGUGCCUCAGUGUAUUUUAAAAACACUGUUAUUAAUUCAACACCAACCAACCCGUAUCAAUAUAGGAAAACACUGAAGUGUGAAACUGCUCCAGUUUUGAGUUGCAUGUCUUGUCGUUUGAGCUAAAUACCAGGCGAGCGUUGAGUAACGUCAGUCAUUGUUGAAACAACAUCAUUCUGAUAUCGUUUCAAAUUCAUUUCAUUUAUUGUUUCUGCAACGUUUUCAUAAAUAUACAAAGUAACAAAGAAAAUACAUGAUACAUAAUAAAAAAGAAUUAACAAUAAUAAAAAUGUGAACAAGGUUGUAUUUUCUAUUAUAAAGAUUUAAAUAGGUUGCACUUUCAGGGGUUGCCACUAUAUAAGCUUAGCUUGAUAUUGUGGCAACCCCGAUUCGACACCUCUCCUGUGUUUUCCGCUAUAAAUAGUGGACUUGUUUGGAUGACACCGAUGUUUUUUUUUUUAGUUUUCUUUUGACUUUUUGUGUAGUAUGGUAAUUACCAGCACCGCAUUAUGUAAAAAUGAGGGUGCGAACAAAUCAGAAAAUGGUAACUUCAAAAACUCAAGUUAAUGGGCAAUGGGUAUGAUUAUAAUAUUAAUGAUGAUGAUGAUGAUGAUGAAUCGCUUUAUGUAGAGCUUUUUCAAAGGAUGCAAAGUGCUAAUAAUGGCAUAAAUUGAUUUUAAAUUUUAUAGCAACACACUUGUGUUUUAAGAAGCUUUUUGAAAAGGUCACCGAUUUAUAAGUUUUACCAAGUAUUAUAACGUAUUCAAGUUAUGCUUAUAGGGGUGCGUCAUUUCAUAUUAAAUUCCAUUUCCGAGACUCUAAAAUUAUCAUUAUGUAAUAUAACGUCCAUGGCCUUGUUGUAUAUACCCAUGGUUCCAUGCUGAAUUGUCAGCGAGGUCAAAGGGUGAAAAAUUGAAAAUUAUUAGCAAUUUUCAUAGUAUUAAAGCGGACCAAAUCCUAUAUAAUACUAAUCUUUGAAAAUUCAUAACUUACAUAAUGUAUUCAUCAAUAUAUUUUAUUUGACCAAAGUGUUAGUAAAGUUCAACGAACGUAGAGGCUUUUUUCUACUUUCGUUUGUCAAAUUAUAUUCUUCGACUAAGGUGUUAAAGCUGACACCAGUCGGUAUCCAUAGAGGAUCACACCAUGAGGUGUUAAAUUUACACCCUAGAAUUGCCCUUAACACCCGACUUUGGUGGAAGACCUAGCCAGGUUUAGCUGGAUCCUCGCCGGUGUAGAGGCAACAACCAAAGAUGUUGUAAUUAGAACUUUAUGAAGCUUAGGAGCUUAGGAGUUGAAAUAAAACAGAAUCUAUAACACCAGAGUAAAAUGAGUGAUGUUGUAUGUGCACCCCGGAUUUACACCAAUCAACACUACGGAUUAUAGUGUGUUGGACCUUUAAAAGUCAAGUAAGAGACAGAAUAAUGCUACAAUAAACCCACGUGUUUGUAUUUAUUCUUAUUAGUCAGUGUAAACAUAACAAGUUCAAUCAAAUUACAUAUCUGUUUGUUCAUCGUGAAUAUGUAUUUUUUAAUAACAGGCAUAAUGG